rnacentral:rRNA from 1 species
AUUGAACGCUGGCGGCAUGCUUUACACAUGCAAGUCGAACGGCAGCACGGACUUCGGUCUGGUGGCGAGUGGCGAACGGGUGAGCAAUACAUCGGAACGUGCCCAGUUGUGGGGGAUAACUACUCGAAAGAGUAGCUAAUACCGCAUGAGAACUGAGGUUGAAAGCAGGGGAUCGUAAGACCUUGCGCAACUGGAGCGGCCGAUGGCAGAUUAGGUAGUUGGUGGGAUAAAAGCUUACCAAGCCGACGAUCUGUAGCUGGUCUGAGAGGACGACCGGGCGAACGUGGGCUGAGACACGGCGCAGACUACUACGGGGAGCAGCAGUGGGGAAUUUUGGACAAUGGGCGAAAGCCUGAUCCAGAAAUGCCGCGUGCAGGAUGAAGGCCUUCGGGUUGUAAACUGCUUUUGUACGGAACGAAAAGCUUCGGGUUAAUACCCUGGAGUCAUGACGGUACCGUAAGAAUAAGCACCGGCUAACUACGUGCCAGCAGCCGCCGUAACAC